rnacentral:rRNA from 1 species
GCAACCUCAGGUAAGGCAUGAUUACCUGCUGAGUUUAAGCAUAUAAAUAAGCGGAGGAGAAGAAUUUUACAAGAAUUCCCUUAGUAACGACGAGCAAACCAUGAAAUGCCCAGCUUGAGAACCGGUAACCUACGGAAUCUGAAUUAUUUUCUGGAGAAGUAUCCUCAGUGGCACACAAAGCUCAAGUCCCCUGGAAGUGGGUGCUAGAGAGUGUGAGAGCCUCAUUGCUCUUGGACCCUAUCGCACUUUGAGGGGCUGUCUACAAGUUAGGUUGUUUUGGAGUGCAACCCGAAUUGGGUGUUAAAUUCUGUCCAAGGGUAAAUAUUGGCAAGAGACCGAUAGCCAACAAGUACAAAGAGGGAAUGAUCAAAAGGACUUGGAGAAAAGAGUAAUUGAAAUUGUCAAGAGGGAAGAAGAUUGGAGCCAGUGGUGCAGCCUGGUCAGAUGUGAAACAGUGAUCAGCCUGUGGAAACGUCAUCUCCCUGAUCGUGGUUGGUUGCCCAUCUUGAAACACAGACAAAGGAGUCUUACAUUCGUGCAGUCAAUGGCCUAAAAAACUUGUUAGUCGCUAGAAAACUGACUGGCAAGAUCUCCUUAAGGGUUGCAUUGCCAAUUUACCUAGAUCUUCUGAGAAGGGUUCGAGUGUGAGCAUGCUUGUCAGGACCCAAAAGAUGGUGAACUAUGCCUGAUCGUGGCAAAUUCAGAAGAAACUCUGGUGGAGGCCCACAGUUAUACUGACAUGUAAAUUGUUCAUCUCACUUGGGUAUAGGGGCAAAAGACUAAUCAAACCGUCUAGUAGCUGGUUCCCUCCAAAGUUUUCGUUAAAAUACCGGGAGCCCAUAGGCAAGUUCUAUUGGGUACAACUAAUGAUUAGAGCCAUCCGGGACACAACUGUCUCAUCCGUAUCUCAAAAUAUAAAUUGAUUGGAAGUCGCGGCUGCUUUGUUUAGUCGUGCCACGGAAUCAAGAGUUCCAAGUGGGGCAUUUUUGGUAAGCAAAACUGGCGAUGUUGAAUGAAUGGAAUGCCAGGUUAUGAUGCCGAACUGCGUGCUAAACUUGAACCCACAAAGGGUUUUGGUCAAUAAAGACAGCAGGACAGUGGUCAUGGAAGUUGAAAUCCGCUAAGGAAUGUGUAACAACUCACCUGCCGAAUUAACUAGCCCUAAAAAUGGAUGGUGCUGAAGCAAACGACUUAUACCCGACAGUCAAGGCAAGUACCAAGCCCUAAUAAGUAGUAUGGCGCGGUGGUAGCUGCAAAACCUUGUGCGUGAGCCUGGGCGGAGCAGCCAUCGAUGCAGAAUCUUAGUGAUAGUAGCAAAUAUUUAAAUGAGAACUUUGAAGGCCGAAGAGGGGAAAGGUUACAUGUAAACAACACUUGCACAUGGGUUAAUCAAUCCUAAGAGACGAGGCAAUCCUUUUUAAAAGCGCCCAACAUGCGAGAAACAAAGAGAACCGGGUUUAAAUUCUUGAACCGGGACGUGGCCACCGACAACAAUGUUAGGGGGUCUAGAGCGUCAUCGGAGAGCUCAGCAAGAGUUAUCUUUUCUGUUUAACAACAUGCCCACCAUUAAAACGGCUCAGUCGAAGGUAGGGUCUAGGGGCUUAAAGAGCACCACAAAUAGCGUGGUGUCUAGUACAUCCUCGAUGGCCGUUUAAAAUUUUGAGGACCGAGUGGAUCCCACGCUCGAUCAUAGUCUCAAUCGAAUCAGGUCUCCAACGUUAACACCCUCUAGUCGACAGAACAAUGUAGGUAAUGGAGGUUAGCAAAAUGGAUCUGUAACCUCAGGAAGAAGGAUUUACUCUAAGGGCUAGGCAUGGAGGUCAUCACAUGGCGGCUGGGGGAUGGAUUGAGAACGGAUCUGUUGGGGGCCUUUCCCAUGCAUCAAACAGUCCACCCAUAAUGGAUACGAACAAGGGGAAUACGACUUCUUAAUUAAAAAAAAAAGGCAUUGCGAUGGUCCUUGUGGAUGCUUACACACUGUAACUAUGACUCUCUUAAUGUAGCAAAAUGCCUCAGCAUCUCAUUAGUGACGCGCAAGAAUGGAUUAACGAGAUUCCUGAUGUCCAUAUCUAUUAUUCAGCAAAACCACAGCCAAGGGAAUGGGCUUGGAAGAAUUAGAAGGGAACAAAGACUUGACACGGAAUAGAAGGGGUUUAGAUUUAGGAAGUGGGAGAAUCGAGUUAGGUUAAAUGGAAAAAUGAUAAUCCGAUAAUUCCAGAAUCGGGACUGGAAUUGGGCCAUCGAUAACUCGACGAUGAGAUUAAGUUUAUGGCUGACAUUUUGAGUGGAACUCUGGGAAGAAGCUAGGUAAUAUUCCUCCAAAAUUGAAGGAAAUCACGUGGAUGGAUCGGUCGGAAGGCAAUGGAACAGUAACGGUGGUCAGCGGUGGCCGAAAAUUGAUAACCGGUGGAAGAAAUGAAAUAUCAAAUGAAAACAAUGAUGGAAGAAGGAUCUUAUGGACUUCAAGCUCACCCUAUGACCUUGAGAAAGGCUGGAGACUUUGAAGCAAGAAGAGAACCCCAGCUCGGAGGAGGAAUCUCUUGAAGAACCCACGGUGGCCGGAGGAAGUCUUCCUCCGGCCACCGGCUGAAAUUGGAAGAUGCCCGAGAAGGGAGAGCUAAAAAGCUUCUUUAAUUCAAAUUCCAAAUUGUCCUUACAAUCACGAAAUGGGGGAGGUUUUAUCUGCUGAGAAGAGUGGGAAAAAGGGAGGGAAAAUUGAGGGCCAAAGGCAUGCAACUUGCAUGCUGGAAAUUGAAAUAAUGGAGGGAAAAUUUGACCAAUGAGAUUGCAAGAAUGUGAAAGCCAUGUGAUCUUGAAUCUCCUCAGCCAAUUUCCCUUCUUCCUUGGCCCAAAAUACCCUUCUCUUAGCCAAAAAUACCUCAUGAAAAACCCCAUGCACGCAUGCAAAAAUAAACAAAAUAAAACCUAGCCGAGAAACCCUCUCGGUUUCUCCAAAUAUCCAACAUAAAAUUC